AUUGAACGCUGGCGGCAGGCCUAACACAUGCAAGUCGAGCGGGGGAAGGUAGCUUGCUACCGGACCUAGCGGCGGACGGGUGAGUAAUGCUUAGGAAUCUGCCUAUUAGUGGGGGACAACAUCUCGAAAGGGAUGCUAAUACCGCAUACGUCCUACGGGAGAAAGCAGGGGAUCUUCGGACCUUGCGCUAAUAGAUGAGCCUAAGUCGGAUUAGCUAGUUGGUGGGGUAAAGGCCUACCAAGGCGACGAUCUGUAGCGGGUCUGAGAGGAUGAUCCGCCAAACUGGGACUGAGACACGGCCCAGACUCCUACGGGAGGCAGCAGUGAGGAAUAUUGGGCAGUGGGGGGAACCCUGAUCCAAGCAUGCCGCGUGUGUGAAGGAGGCCUUAUGGUUGUAAAGCACUUUAAGCGAGGGGAAGGCUACUUUAGUUAAUACCUAGGGAUAGUGGACGUUACUCGAAGAAUAAGCACCGGCUAACUCUGUGCCAGCAGCCGCGGUAA
rnacentral:rRNA from 1 species